rnacentral:rRNA from 1 species
CGUAGGGACCAAGCGUUGUUCGGAUUUACUGGGCGUAAAGGGCGCGUAGGCGCAAUUCAAGUCAGCUGUGAAAUCUCCGGGCUUAACUCGGAACGGUCAGCUGAUACUGCUUUGCUAGAGUGCAGAAGGGGCAAUCGGAAUUCUUGGUGUAGCGGUGAAAUGCGUAGAUAUCAAGAGGAACACCUGAGGUGAAGACGGGUUGCUGGGCUGACACUGACGCUGAGGCGCGAAAGCUAGGGUAGCAAACGGGAUUAGAUACCCCGGUAGUCCUAGCCCUAAACGAUGAAUACUUGGUGUCUGGAGUUUUUAUCCUCCGGGUGCCGUCGCUAACGUUUUAAGUAUUCCGCCUGGGGAGUACGCACGCAAGUGUG